UACGUAGGGGGGCAAGCGUUUGUCCGGAAUUAUUGGGCGUAAAGAGCGUGUAGGCGGUCCGGUAAGUCAGCUGUGAAAGUCAAGGGCUCAACCCUUGAAUGCCGGUUGAUACUGUCGGGCUAGAGUCCGGAAGAGGCGAGCGGAAUUCCCGGUGUAGCGGUGAAAUGCGCAGAUAUCGGGAGGAACACCAAUGGCGAAGGCAGCUCGCUGGGACGGUACUGACGCUGAGACGCGAAAGCCAGGGGAGCAAACGGG
rnacentral:rRNA from 1 species